GAUGAACGCUGGCGGCGUGCCUAAUACAUGCAAGUCGAGCGCGAAGAUCAGGAGCUUGCUCCUGAGAUUCGAGCGGCGGACGGGUGAGUAACACGUAGGCAACCUACCCUUGAGAUUGGGAUAACUACCGGAAACGGUAGCUAAUACCGGAUACGACAUUCCUGCAUAAGUAAGAAUGUUAAAAGGCGGAUUUAUCUGCCGCUCAUGGAUGGGCCUGCGGUGCAUUAGCUAGUUGGUGAGAUAGUAGCUCACCAAGGCGACGAUGCAUAGCCGACCUGAGAGGGUGAUCGGCCACACUGGGACUGAGACACGGCCCAG
rnacentral:rRNA from 1 species